rnacentral:rRNA from 1 species
GUCUAUGGUCAUACCACCCUCAUAGGGCCUGAUCUCAUCUGAUCUCCAAAGCUAAGCAAGGUUGGGCCUAGUUGGUAAUUGGAUGGGAGACCCACCUGGGAAUGCCAGGUGUUACAGGCU